rnacentral:rRNA from 1 species
AUUGAACGCUGGCGGCAUGCUUUACACAUGCAAGUCGAACGGUAGACCCUUUCGGGGGUUGAGAGUGGCGAACGGGUGAGUAAUGCAUCGGAACGUGCCUAGUCGUGGGGGAUAACGUAGCGAAAGUUACGCUAAUACCGCAUACGCACUGAGGUGGAAAGCGGGGGACCGUAAGGCCUCGCGCGAUUGGAGCGGCCGAUGUCGGAUUAGCUAGUUGGUGAGGUAAAGGCUCACCAAGGCGACGAUCCGUAGCGGGUCUGAGAGGAUGAUCCGCCACACUGGGACUGAGACACGGCCCAGACUCCUACGGGAGGCAGCAGUGGGGAAUUUUGGACAAUGGGCGCAAGCCUGAUCCAGCCAUGCCGCGUGCGGGAAGAAGGCCUCGGUUGUAACGACUUCGUACAGAAGAAAUACGCAUGGACUAAUAACUACUGUGUGGA